AGGAAAGAGAAGUUCUCUCUCUUUGCUGGAGCUUGGAUAUCCUUUUUUUUCCUCCCUCAGGUUCUCAAGCCUGCAGUCUGGGCUGAGAGUCACAGCAUCAGCUUCUGGGACUGAGCCAUGCUACCCAAUCCUCUCCUUCUCUCCGGUCUCCAGGCGGCGCUUCGUCGGACUUCUCACCUCCAUUGGCUCAGGAGCCAGCCCCUCAGUGAAUCUCCAGUCACGUACAUACCACGUGUUCUAGAGAACUCCGAUGAGUACAGAAACUUGCACAUUUACAAGAAAGUUGUACAAGGGUGGAAUAUAUUGUAUCUCUGAGACUGGCAACCCCGAGGGGCCUCCAGCUGUGUCUACUCGAAGGUGUGCAAGCUCUUUUAGGAAGACCGGGUGGAAUACAGUGACACAAUGGACCAGACCUCUGCCAGAUACACUACUUCACCAACGGUCAGUUCUGCCUCUCAUAGAGUCCCAGUGCAUGAGUCUGAUGUCCUUCAGCCAAGGUCCUUGUCAUUUCAUAGUGAGGCCAGCCUUUUCCCCCCGUUUGCAAUAUUAUGUUCCUCAUCUCCAUCGAAUACG
rnacentral:lncRNA from 1 species